GCAGACGUCCAGCUCCUAAGCGAGAACUCAGCGAUUGCUGUGACCGUUCUCACCGGGUGUGGGACCAGAACUCACUGCAGUAGACACGCCCAGGUUUGUCAAAAGUGCUUUCAAAAGGGGGAGGGGGUGCGUAAACAAUCUCUUUCCCUAUCUCCUCCCCCAAGGAGACCACAUGUUUGUUUCUUAGCGGGGGGGGGGGGGGGGGAGUCCUCUUCUCCCUAAACUCAGUCACUCAUUUUGAGUGAUUUUCCUGCCCUCCUCAUACCCACUGACUCUGUAACAAGGAGAUGCUCUGAAUUUCCCCAGUUCCCCGGCCACCCUCUCAGCAGCCCUGUGAGUGGCCACCACGCACCAGAUAGCUGCAAGCUAAUCCUCAUCCGCACUCCAGAGGUCCUUUCCAGGAAGCUCCUAAAUAGAAGACCAGAAGUACCUUCCUACCCAGCCCUGCCCUCCGGGCUCCCACGUGCUGUCUCCACCCCGCCCCCCUCGACCUCUCCCCAUCCCACCCUUCAGAACUCUACUGGGAUCUAAAUCUGAUUUCCACUGUGGAAUGAAAAGGAAGAUGAAGAGCCCUUUACAAAUGUCUUUCUUAAUCCCGAAAUGCCUCUGGAAGAAAGUCUGAGCAGACCAACAUUGUUUUUAAUAAUUCCUUUAUAUCCACAAGGGCAGAAAGCUACUCUCUUGAGGAAAGCUUUCAGAAUCCCAUCCAUGGGUUCUAUUUACAGUUCACUCUCCUGACAAGCUGAGUCAUCUUGGGUAAAUCACCAGACCUUUCUGAUUCCAUUUUUCAUCAGUAAAAUAGGGUUAAUGAAGUAAACUUUGUGGUUGCGUGAGACUGUGCCAGUAAUUCAGCUUAUCAUGCUGCUAAUAAAUAUCACUUCUCCUUUGUAUUUCUCUCUUUCCCGCUCACUUCACUCAAACUCAUCUUUCUCUAAGGAAAAUAACUAAGAAGGGCAUCACUAACCAUUCUAGGACUAUUAAAAAUAGAUCCUCCCAGUGGGAGGUACUUGCUACUUUGACCAUCCCGUGUGUUUGACACGGUCUUCAGGGACAAUUACAUUAGCCCAGAUCAAACUGCUUAUGCUCAUCUGCAUUUGGGUUGUUUGGAGUUUAUAAGUUAUGUCAUUUCUUAUCAAUCACAAAAAUACACAUAACAGAGCUCCCCCAAAAGACUAAGAAAGAGGCAGCCUUAUUCAUUUGUCUGGUCAGUUUCAGCCUCUUGGUUCUCCCAUGCUUAACCUCUCAACAUCACACUGGGUCAUAUUUCACCUCUUCCCCAGGGCCUUCCAGACCACAAUGCCCCCCAGACUCCUGAAGCUCUUUGAAGCCUACUGGAUUUCUCAGAGAAGUUUUUGUUCCAAUAAGGUGAAGAGUGAGGACGUGCAACUCGAAGAAGUAGCUGUAUCCUGAGAGAUCCUCAUGGGCACAGAGCUUACUAGAGCUUAUCACUGGAGUAAGAUCAGACUCCAAGAGUACUGAGGGGAUCAGAGAGUGAACUUUCAAUCGCAGCCUCCAUACGGUGUUUGCUCUGUGUAUCAUGUACCCUGAACUACACAGACAUCACUUCCUGUGAAUAAUAUACGGCAUUAUAUCGAAUGUGGGUAAUAUAUUCUGUAAAUGAACUUAAUUUGAAGAAUUGCGUAAAUUUAAUACAAAUCAAAGCCUAACGCUGGGCACGUUGUGGGAGGGUCAAUAAAUACUUGUUAUAUGACAUGC